GAUGAACGCUGGCGGCGUGCCUAAUACAUGCAAGUCGAGCGAACAGAUGAGAAGCUUGCUUCUCUGAUGUUAGCGGCGGACGGGUGAGUAGCACGUGGGUAACCUACCUAUAAGACUGGGAUAACUCCGGGAAACCGGGGCUAAUACCGGAUAAUAUUUUGAACCGCAUGGUUCAAUAGUGAAAGACGGUUUCGGCUGUCACUUAUAGAUGGACUCGCGCCGUAUUAGCUAGUUGGUAAGGUAACGGCUUACCAAGGCGACGAUACGUAGCCGACCUGAGAAGGUGAUCGGCCACACUGGAACUGAGACACGGUCCAGACUCCUACGGGAGGCAGCAGUAGGGAAUCCUCCGCAAUGGGCGAAAGCCUGACGGAGCAACGCCGCGUGAGUGAUGAAGGUCUUCGGAUCGUAAAACUCUGUUGUUAGGGAAGAACAAAUUUGUUAGUAACUGAACAAGUCUUGACGGUACCUAACCAGAAAGCCACGGCUAACUACGUGCCAGCCGCCGCAGUAA
rnacentral:rRNA from 1 species